GUACCCGCUGAACUUAAGCAUAUCAAUAAGCGCAGGAAAAGAAACCAACAGGGAUUACCUCAGUAACGGCGAGUGAAGCGGUAAUAGCUCAAAUUUGAAAUAUGGCCUCUCGGGGUCCGAGUUGUAAUUUGUAGAGGAUGUUUUGGGUACCGCCCCGGUCUAAUUUUCUUGGAACAGAACGUCACAGAGGGUGAGAAUCCCGUCUUGGACCGGCGGUAGGGCCUGUGUAAAACUCCUUCGACGAGUCGAGUUGUUUGGGAAUGCAGCUCAAAAUGGGUGGUAAAUUUCAUCUAAAGCUAAAUAUUGGCCAGAGACCGAUAGCGCACAAGUAGAGUGAUCGAAAGAUGAAAAGCACUUUGAAAAGAGAGUUAAACAGUAUGUGAAAUUGUUGAAAGGGAAGCGCUUGCAACCAGAUUUGAGCGCGGCGGUUCCCCCGGUCUUUUGGCCGGGCUACUCCGUCGUGUCCAGGCCAACAUCGGUUCUAAGGGUCGGUCAAAGGCCUUGGGAAUGUAUCCAGGGUGUCAUGCGGCCUCUCGGGACCGAGGAACGCGCUUCGGCUCGGAUGUUGGCGUAAUGGUUGUCAGCGACCCGUCUUGAAACACGGACC
rnacentral:rRNA from 1 species